UUCGGCCAUAUAACGUUAAAACAUAGGCUCCCGUACGUUUACCGAAGUUAAACAAGGUCGAACCUGAUCAGUAGUUAGAUGGGUGAUCGCUUGGGAAUACACCAGGUGCAGC